GGACCCGCACAAGCAGUGGAGCAUGUGGUUUAAUUCGACGCAACGCGAAGAACCUUACCAGCGUUUGACAUGGGAAAGUGCCGGUUACAGAAUGGUAACCUUCAGUUCGGCUGGCUUCCACACAGGUGCUGCAUGGCUGUCGUCAGCUCGUGUCGUGAGAUGUUGGUUAAGUCCCGCAACGAGCGCAACCCUUAUCGUUAGUUACUAACAGUUCGGCUGAGGACUCUAGCGAAACUGCCGGUGAUAAGCCCGGAGGAAAGGUGGGGGAUGACGUCAAGUCCUCAUGGCCCUUACACGCUGGGCUACACACGUGCUACAAUGGUAACUACAACGGGACGCAAUACCGCGAGGUGGAG
rnacentral:rRNA from 1 species